UUACGGUCAUAUCACGUGUAAACAUCGGUUCCCAUACAAUCACCUGAGUUAAGCAACGUCGAUCCUGGUCAGUACCUAGAUGAGUGACCGCUUGAGAAUACCAGGUGCU